rnacentral:tRNA from 1 species
GGGGCCUUAGCUCAGCUGGGAGAGCACCUGCUUCGCAAGCAGGGGGUCGUCGGUUCGAUCCCGACAGGCUCCACCAUUUGAGUGAAACGACUUUGGGUCUGUAGCUCAGGUGGUUAGAGCGCACCCCUGAUAAGGGUGAGGUCGGUGGUUCGAGUCCUCCCAGACCCACCACUCUGAAUGUAGUGCACACUUAAGAAUUUAUAUGGCUCAGCGUUGAGGCUGAGACAUGUUCUUUUAUAACUUGUGACGUAGCGAGCGUUUGAGAUAUCUAUCUAAACGUGUCGUUGAGGCUAAGGCGGGGACUUCGAGUCCCUAAAUAAUUGAGUCGUAUGUUCGCGUUGGUGGCUUUG